rnacentral:rRNA from 1 species
UACGGAGGGGACUAGCGUUGUUCGGAAUUACUGGGCGUAAAGCGCACGUAGGCGGAUUUGUAAGUCAGGGGUGAAAUCCCGGGGCUCAACCUCGGAACUGCCUUUGAUACUGCAAAUCUCGAGUCCGGAAGAGGUGAGUGGAAUUCCUAGUGUAGAGGUGAAAUUCGUAGAUAUCGUAAGGAAGACCAGUGGCGAAGGCGGGUCUCUGGACAGUUCCUGACGCUGAGGCACGAAGGCCAGGGGAGCAAAC